GUGAUUGUUACAUCAUCCAGUCUACAAGUGACCCCGUUAACGAGCAUAUUAUGGAACUGCUGAUUAUGGUAGAUGC
rnacentral:tRNA from 1 species